AUUGAACGCUGGCGGCAGGCCUAACACAUGCAAGUCGAGCGGAUGAAGGGAGCUUGCUCCUGGAUUCAGCGGCGGACGGGUGAGUAAUGCCUAGGAAUCUGCCUGGUAGUGGGGGAUAACGUCCGCAAACGGGCGCUAAUACCGCAUACGUCCUGCGGGAGCAAGUGGGGGAUCUUCGGACCUCACGCUAUCAGAUGAGCCUAGGUCGGAUUAGCUAGUUGGUGGGGUAAAGGCCUACCAAGGCGACGAUCCGUAACUGGUCUGAGAGGAUGAUCAGUCACACUGGAACUGAGACGCGGUCCAGACUCCUACGGGAGGCAGCAGUGUGGAAUAUUGGACAGUGGGCGGAAGCCUGAUCCAGCCAUGCCGCGUGUGUGAAGAAGGUCUUCGGAUUGUGAAGCACUUUAAGUUGGGGGGAAGGGCAGUAAGUUAACACCUUGCUUUUUUGACGUUACCAACAGAAUAAGCACCGGCUAACUUCGUG
rnacentral:rRNA from 1 species